rnacentral:rRNA from 1 species
GCCUACGGGACGCAGCAGUCGAGAAUCAUUCACAAUGGGGGAAACCCUGAUGGUGCGACGCCGCGUGGGGGAAUGAAGGUCUUCGGAUUGUAAACCCCUGUCAUGUGGGAGCAAAUUAAAAAGAUAGUACCACAAGAGGAAGAGACGGCUAACUCUGUGCCAGCAGCCGCGGUAAUACAGAGGUCUCAAGCGUUGUUCGGAAUCACUGGGCGUAAAGCGUGCGUAGGCUGUUUCGUGAGUCGUGUGUGAAAGGCGCGGGCUCAACCCGCGGACGGCACAUGAUACUGAGAGACUAGAGUAAUGGG